CAGGAUUUCACCAAGAAAUUCAUGUGUAUUGGAAUAGAUUCUAAACAUUUUGCCACACAAGCUGAUUGUGUUAAGGCUAUCUACAAUAAAGAAUUCAGCUACUACUUUGGCAAUCAAGGGUAAUUGCAAGAAAGAUUUUCCUCAAGACAUAGAACCUUCAUCAUCCGGAACGCAUUCACAAAGUCAGAAGUGUGAAAAGCCCUUGGUAGUAUUAGAGCUGAGAAUGAAGCACAAUUGGAGAAACAGACGACUCGGCACAUAGAAUCUUUACACAAAACCCAAGCCCAGGCCCAAGCAUUCUGUUAGCACGGAAACCCUAAAGGCUGGUGAGCUUUUUGUUA
rnacentral:lncRNA from 1 species